rnacentral:rRNA from 1 species
CCUACGGGGGGCAGCAGUCGGGAAUUUUGGGCAAUGGGCGAAAGCCUGACCCAGCAACGCCGCGUGAAGGAUGAAAUCCCUCGGGAUGUAAACUUCGCAGAAAAGAGAGCGGUAUCAUUUGUAAGCUCCGGCUAACUCCGUGCCAGCAGCCGCGGUAAUACGGGGGGAGCAAGCGUUGUUCGGAUUUACUGGGCGUAAAGGGCGCGUAGGCGGCAGCACAAGUCAGUUGUGAAAUCUCCGAGCUUAACUCGGAAAGGUCAACUGAUACUGUGCGGCUAGAGUGCAGAAGGGGCAACUGGAAUUCUUGGUGUAGCGGUGAAAUGCGUAGAUAUCAAGAGGAACACCUGCGGCGAAGGCGGGUUGCUGGGCUGAAUGACGCUGAUGCGCGAAAGCCAGGGGAGCGAACGGGAUUAGAUACCCUUGUAGUC